GUGCUCACUUUGGCAGCAUGUAUACUAAAAUGGAAUGACAAAGAGAAGAUUAGCAUGGCCACUGAUCAAGGAUGACACACAAAUUGUGAAGUGUUCCAUAUUAAA
ensembl:snRNA U6 U6 spliceosomal RNA